UGGCCCAAAGACCACAGUGUCAGUCAGUCCCUCUGGUGAAAUAGUGGAGGGCAGUUCAGUGACUCUGACCUGCAGCAGUGAUGCCAACCCUCCUGUGCAGAGUUACACCUGGUGGUACAAGAAGAAUGGAGGUGACUAUCAGAGUAUGACAGGACCACAGCAUGUCUUCAAUCAAAUCCAGUCAUCUGACAGUGGAGAGUACUACUGUGAGGCCCAGAAUGAGAUGGGGACAGACUGGUCUAGGACCAUAAACAUGGAUGUGAAAUAUGACCCAAAGAGCACCUCAGUGUCAGUCAGACCCUCUGGUGAAAUAGUGGAGGGCAGUUCAGUGACUCUGACCUGCAGCAGUGAUGCCAACCCACCUGUGGAUAAAUACACCUGGUACAAGAAGAAUGGAGCUUCACUGACAGGAUCUGAAAAGACAUACAAUUUCACAACCAUCAGCUCUGAGGACAGAGGAGAAUACUACUGUGGGGCUGAGAAUAAAUAUGGACGUCUCAACUCUUCUUCUGUGUCUGUGGACGUUCAGUGUUAGUACAUCUAACCUCAUCUUUUGAUCAGAGGAUCACAUUUAAAUUCAUAUUUCAAUAACAAGUAAAACACUAUUUAAAACACUGUUGUAACAUAUUGUCCACCAGACGACCCAAAGAACACCUCAGUGUCAGUCAGUCCCUCUGGUGACAUAGUGGAGGGCAGUUCAGUGACUCUGACCUGCAGCAGUGAUGCCAACCCACCUGGACAAAUACACCUGGUACUUUCAAAAUAAGACUUUUCAAAAUGGAUUUGGACAGAUGUACAACAUAAGUAAGUUCAAGUCUAAGGACAAUGGACAUUACCACUGUGAGGCCUGGAAUGGAAGAGGAUCUAUGAACUCUACAGCUCUGAUGAUCAGUUUACCAGGGAAACAGACCUCAGUUAUGAAUGCAGCUGUAGGAAUCAUAGUGGUUGUUCUGGUUCUCAUCCUCUGUCUCUCUGGACUCAUGUGGUUCAGGAAGAAGGCCUCCAAAUCCACCUCUGACACAAGACACACAGCAGACAACAGACAGGGAGACUCUAGUCCAGUGUAUGACAACAUCUCAAGCAUGGCCAUGACCCCUACUGCAGCACAGACAGCAGCCACAGACGACCAGGAUGAUGUUCACUACGCCAGCGUCCACUUCUCUCGCGCCAAAUACGAGGAAGUGCCUCUGUACUCCACCGUCCAGCUGCCUCAAGCACAGAAACAAGACGAAGACUUCCAAUACGCUGCUGUGAAAUUCAACCUCCCCAGUGCUGCCCCCAAACCUGUGGCGGCACAAGCAGCUGAGGAGGACCGCUCUGAGAUCUACAGUAGAAUCAACAAACCCAGAACCAAGAAGACCUGAACACAACAAACCCAGAACCAAGAAGACCUGACACAAAAAGUUUAACAAAAACCUUGUACACUAUAUAUACAAAAGUGGACACCCCUUCAAAUUAGUGGAUUCAGCUAUCUCAGCCUCACCCAUUGCUGAUAGGUGUAUAAAAUCGAGCACACAACCAUUCAAUCUCCAUAAACAAACAUUGGCAGUAGAAUGGCCUUACUGAAGAGCUCAGUGACUUUCAACGUGGCACUGUCAUAGGAUGCCACCUUUCCAACAAGUCAGUUUGUCAAAUUUCUUCCCUGCUAAAGCUGCCCCGGUCAACUGUAAGUGCUGUUAUUGUGAAGUGGAAAUGUCUAGGAGCAACAACUGCUCAGCCGCAAAGCGGUAGGCCACACAGCGGUGAAGUGGUAGUGCAGAGCGCAUAAAAAUCGCCUGUCCUCUGUUGCAACACUCCCUACCAAGUUCCAAACUGCCUCUGGCAGCAACGCUAGCACAACAACUGUUCGUCGGGAGCUUCAUGAAAUGGGUUUCCAUGGCCGAGCAGCCGCACGCAAGCCUAAGAUUACCAUGUGCAAUGCCAAGCGUCGGCUGGAGUGGUGUAAACCUCGCCACCAUUGGACUCUGGAGACAUUGACUCUGUUGCACACACACCAUUGCAUAUUGACACAUUGACUCUGGACCGGUACCCCUGUAUAUAGCCCCCGCUAUUGUUAUUUACUGCUGCUCUUUAAUUAUUUGUUUUUCUUAUCUCUUACUUUUUAUUUGUAUUUUUUUAGGUUUCUUAAAACUGCAUUGUUGGUUAAUA
ensembl:lncRNA uncharacterized LOC115185799